CCUACGUGUCUACCCUUAUUUUAACCUGCCUACCCUAGCACUUUUUAUUUAAUUUUCAAACAAGAAUUUAAAUCUUAGGAAACAUUGCCAUACACAAGGAAAACAACAUUAAUGUUUAAUUAAUACAAUAGUUAACCCAUGCAAAAAAGGCUGAAAUGAGCCUGAAAAGGCACACAUUUAAGGCUCGAACAACUCUGAAAAAAAUAGGACUUAUCCACAAAUUCUGCCCCAAGUUUUCACUCCUCAAAAUUUGGAGGAAAAUAAUUAACUGAGAUUAAUACCGUUCAGGGUGAAAUUGAUAUUUAUUUUGGCUCAGGCUUAUUUGUCUAAGACCUUAUAAUUAAAUCCCUUUGUUAUGAUAGUUUACCUUUCAACACUUAAAGUACAUGUAAACAUGUAAAUCUACUAUGUAUUUAACAUAUCUUUGAAUUUAGGGUUUUAGAGUUAACUGGAACAAUUAAGGGCUGUAUGUAAGUUGAAAAUUGUCCAGUAAAUGUAUCCCAGUUUAUCAGUAGUGUUUUGUUGUACGAUGUCAAUUUGGUCGCUCUAUCUUUUUAUUCCCCCAUUUGUAAACAAAGAAUUCAAGGGUUAUAUGAUACUACAGACAGAUAGGACUGACUCUGGUUCAGCAGUAUGAGUCAGAAACUUUGAAAAUAAGAACGCGGUGUUUGCAAGACUUGUUACUUGGUUUGAAAAUUUGAAAUGUAGUUUCAAAGCAAUGUUUGGACUUUUUCAUUUGAAGUUUUGAUAAUAUGAUGAAAUACCUUACUUUGAUGAACAUUCUGAAAUAAUUAAAUAAACUGUCUGUUGAAAUCAACAUUCUGUGUGUAAAAAAAGCUGAAACGAGUGAUUCAGUUAGUUAUAAUGGACCUUUUUUUGAAUGCUCUGAACUACUGAACAGGUUAAACUCUUGCACCACGGCAAAAUUUACGUUGAACAGAAGAUCCUAAGGAAAGUGUGCACAUCGGCUGACAAAAAUGGAGCAAAAGGGGAUGUUACCUCAUGAUGUAUGGACUUUUAGAAAAGGUUUUUACCCUGCACAAGUUUGCCAGCUCAAGGGGAACAGGAGUGGGAAAACCGCACCCUGGUGAUGAGCAUAUACCUGUCCUUGACCAAGACAAGCUGGAUUUGUUGAGAGACACUGUGGAGUAAGAACGGCGGCAAAUGCGGCGUGUGUGGUGACAACUUUGCAGUCAAUCCAAGACCCAACGAACCAGGCGGCAAGUUUUAUACAGGGAUCAUCGUACGCAAAUAUGACGUCGCUCAGGUGAUUGACGUCGCCGUUCACUUGACGGCCAAUCACAAAGUCAAAGGGAUACAUUUUACAAAGAGAAUACAUAUUUGGCACCGGUAUGCGGAAAGUUAAUCCAGUGCGGCAUAGAAGGUGCAAAACGAGCGGAUAUCAAAAUGUCUAUAAGGUCACUGCCUUAUAAGGUUGGUUUGAGUUUCGUCUUUGCAAAAAUGACGCCGCAAACAAAACUCUAGAGCAAGCUUGCUUUGACCAACACAUCUUGCAAGACAACCGAGGAGUGAAACGGUUUGAAAUCAGCAUGGGUAUG